GAUGAACGCUGGCGGCGUGCCUAAUACAUGCAAGUCGAGCGAACAGACGAGGAGCUUGCUCCUCUGACGUUAGCGGCGGACGGGUGAGUAACACGUGGAUAACCUACCUAUAAGACUGGGAUAACUUCGGGAAACCGGAGCUAAUACCGGAUAAUAUAUUGAACCGCAUGGUUCAAUAGUGAAAGACGGUUUUGCUGUCACUUAUAGAUGGAUCCGCGCCGCAUUAGAUAGUUGGUAAGGUAACGGCUUACCAAGGCGACGAUGCGUAGCCGACCUGAGAGGGUGAUCGGCCACACUGGAACUGAGACACGGUCCAGACUCCUACGGGAGGCAGCAGUAGGGAAUCUGCCGCAAUGGGCGAAAGCCUGACGGAGCAACGCCGCGUGAGUGAUGAAGGUCUUCGGAUCGUAAAACUCUGUUAUUAGGGAAGAACAAAUGUGUAAGUAACUAUGCACGUCUUGACGGUACCUAAUCAGAAAGCCACGGCUAACUACGUG
rnacentral:rRNA from 1 species